rnacentral:sRNA from 1 species
CAUGGGAUAGCCUUUCUAGUAUUUUUUGGACAACUAUAUGUUAUCAAGGCUAGCUCAUUAAAGCAAAAAGCAACGGCAUCAAAACCGUUGCUUUUUG